rnacentral:rRNA from 1 species
GAUGAACGCUGGCGGCGUGCCUAAUACAUGCCAGUCGAGCGAACAGACGAGGAGCUUGCUCCUCUGACGUUAGCGGCGGACGGGUGAGUAACACGUGGAUAACCUACCUAUAAGACUGGGAUAACUUCGUGAAACCGGAGCUAAUACCGGAUAAUAUAUUGAACCGCAUGGUUCAAUAGUGAAAGACGGUUUUGCUGUCACUUAUAGAUGGAUCCGCGCCGCAUUAGCUAGUUGGUAAGGUAACGGCUUACCAAGGCAACGAUGCGUAGCCGACCUGAGAGGGUGAUCGGCCACACUGGAACUGAGACACGGUCCAGACUCCUACGGGAGGCAGCAGUAGGGAAUCUUCCGCAAUGGGCGAAAGCCUGACGGAGCAACGCCGCGUGAGUGAUGAAGGUCUUCGGAUCGUAAAACUCUGUUAUUAGGGAAGAACAAAUGUGUAAGUAACUAUGCACGUCUUGACGGUACCUAAUCAGAAAGCCACGGCUAACUACGUG